rnacentral:rRNA from 1 species
AACAAAAACAUGUCCUUUUGUUUACUUAAAAGGUCUGGCCUGCCCAGUGAUUUAUUUUAACGGCCGCGGUAUUCUGACCGUGAAAGGUAGCAUAAUCAUUAGUCUUUUAAUAGGGGGCUGGUAUGAAAGGUUAAACGUAACACUAACUGUCUUUUUUAUAAAUUUUAUAAUUUAACUUUUAAGUUAAAAGGCUUAAAUUUUUUUGGAGGACGAGAAGACCCUAUAGAGCUUUACAAUAAGUUUUUUGAUAUUUUUUAGUUAAAUAACUUAAUUUUGAUUUAUUUAUUGUUUUGUUGGGGUGACAAUAGAAUAUAAAUAACUUCUUAUAUAAUUUACAUUAAUUUAUGAUUAAAUGAUCCAUUAUUAUUGAUCAUUAGAUUAAGUUACCUUAGGGAUAACAGCGUAAUCUUUCUUGGGAGUUCAAAUUUACGGAAAGGCUUGCGACCUCGAUGUUGGAUUAAGAUGAUAAUUAGGUGCAGUAGCUUAAUUAAUAGGUCUGUUCGACCUUUAAAUUCUUACGUGAU